CGAGCGGACUUGAUGGAGAGCUUGCUCUCCUGAUGGUUAGCGGCGGACCCGUGAGUAACACGUAGGCAACCUCCCUGCAAGACCGGGAUAACCCACGGAAACGUGAGCUAAUACCGGAUAUCUCAUUUUCUCUCCUGAGGGGAUGAUGAAAGACGGAGCAAUCUGUCACUUGCGGAUGGGCCUGCGGCGCAUUAGCUAGUUGGUGAGGUAACGGCUCACCAAGGCGACGAUGCGUAGCCGACCUGAGAGGGUGAACGGCCACACUGGGACUGAGACACGGCCCAGACUCCUACGGGAGGCAGCAGUAGGGAAUCUUCCGCAAUGGGCGAAAGCCUGACGGAGCAACGCCGCGUGAGUGAUGAAGGUUUUCGGAUCGUAAAGCUCUGUUGCCAGGGAAGAACGUCCGAUAGAGUAACUGCUAUCGGAGUGACGGUACCUGAGAAGAAAGCCCCGGCUAACUACGUGCCAGCAGCCGCGGUAAUACGUAGGGGGCAAGCGUUGUCCGGAAUUAUUGGGCGUAAAGCGCGCGCAGGCGGUCAUUUAAGUCUGGUGUUUAAGGCCAAGGCUCAACCUUGGUUCGCACUGGAAACUGGGUGACUUGAGUGCAGAAGAGGAGAGUGGAAUUCCACGUGUAGCGGUGAAAUGCGUAGAUAUGUGGAGG
rnacentral:rRNA from 1 species